AGGAAUGUAGCUCAGUGGUAGAGCACUUGCCUAGUAUGCAUGAGGCCUUGGGUUUUAUCCCCAGUAAUGACUUA
rnacentral:tRNA from 1 species